CCUUCAGCUCGCGCAGAGUUUACACACAAACAGAGCCCGGGCUGGAAUUCAACCCCACAGCUGACCCUCCCUGCAGCCAGCACAAAUCACAGGAGUCGUUUCUGAUACUAUCGAGAAAAAGAUGCCUGCGCCUACCCCCACCCGACCCCCCUACUGAUGGGAGAACCUCUCAAAAUGGUCAGGAGAAGGCCACAUUUUAGAAGGGAUUCCCUGGACGCUCAAAAUAACCAAGCCAGGAAAAGAAAGAAAGAAAGAAAGAAAGAAAGAAAGAAAGAAAAGUGACCACCAGCUGUUUACCUCCAUCUUGGGAGCUGAGCCAAUUAUGUGAGUGCCCAUUUGCAUCCAUCAAAUUGAAGGCCUCAAAAUAAAAUACAUCCUGGAGGAGUGUAUGUUGUUAUGUUGUGUUCGGCCUCGUCCAGCCAACAACAGCACACAGAGAAGUACACCGAGAGAGAGAGAGAGAGAGAGAGAGAGAGACGUGAAGAACGACCCAAGAAGAAAACGCGUGCACAGGACCUGCCUGUCUCCGUGCUACCCAGCACACUGCAUGUGAUCCGCGUCCCUCCACUGUCCCCUAGGUGAGUGACAGGUAAUGGCAACCCUUCCGUCCUUUCCUUUCCUAUCUGCUGGAGACACCCAUCAGCGGCGUGGUCAUUAGGACAAAUAUCUAUGCCCUAAUUUGGAGCAGAUGUUUGGAAGAAAGGGAUCAUUUAAAAAGGCCAAA